UACGGAGGGGGCAAGUGUUAUUCGCAUUGACUGGGUGUAAAAUGUGUGUAGGUGGUUUUUUCAGUUUAUACUUAAUUAUUGCAAGUAUUUGUUAUUGGAGUAUGAAUACAAUUAAACUAGAGUUAGUUAGAAGAAAAUAAUACUUAAAGUGUAAAAGUAAAAAGUAAAAUAUUUUAAGGAUUAACAUUUGGCGAAGGCUGUUUUCUUUAAUUAAACUGACACUGAAAUACUAAAGUAUGGGGAGCAAACAGG
rnacentral:rRNA from 1 species